AUGACUAGAGCCUACGAGUGUAGGCACAAAUGGGCUAAACCAUAUUUUAGCAAAGUUUUCUGUGCUAGAAUGUGUAGCACUCAACGUAGUGAGUGUGCAAACUUUAUGCUGAAGAUACAUACUGUAUGCAAUUCUUCAAUAAAUGCAUUCAUUACCCAGUACACUAAGCUUAUAGACGAUCGUGAGAGUUGUGACGCAGAUGCCGAAAGGAAAAACAAACAGAAAAUAAUUAAGGUCCAUUUUGGAUAUCCAAUGGAGAAGCAUGCUUCAGUUAUCUAUACUGCAAAGGUUUAUAAUCUAUUCAAGAAGGAGCUCAUUAAGUCAACAUCAUACCUUGUGCUUCCUAGCAUGGAGGAACAUACUUUUGUUGUGAAGCACGUCCAGGCCGAGUCUAGGGAAUCGUGGUCAAAAGUAAUAUACAAAAUCAAAGUAGACGAGUCUAUUGGAUAUUACACUUGUGAAUGUGGACUUUAUGAACAUUUUGGUGUUCUUUGUAGCCACGUCCUAGCGAUUUUUGUGAACCGAGGUGUCUGCAAAAUUCCAGAUUUGUCAUAUAAUGAAGCGGUGGACAAAGCAAGCAAGGUCAUCUAG
rnacentral:rRNA from 1 species